rnacentral:snoRNA from 1 species
UGGACCAAUGAUGAUAAAUACUGGCGUAUGAGUCUUGAAUGAUGAAUAAUACAUGUCUGGAACCCUGAGGUCCAA